rnacentral:rRNA from 1 species
UACGGAGGGUGCGAGCGUUGUCCGGAAUCACUGGGCGUAAAGGGCGCGUAGGCGGCGCGGGUAGUCAUCGGUGAAAGUUCAGGGCUCAACUCUGAAUCGGCCGGUGAUACUCUCGUGCUUGAGCACUGUAGAGGCAGGUGGAAUUCCGGUGGUGAUAGCGGUGGAAUGCGUAGAGAUCCGGAAGAACACCGGUGGCGAAGGCGGCCUGCUGGGCAGUAGCUGACGCUGAGGAGCGAAAGCGUGGGGAGCGAACAGG